UUGAUCCAGAGAUUUCCGAAUGGGGGAACCCACUAUCUUUAGUCGGAUAGUAUCCUUACGUGAAUACAUAGCGUGAGGAAGGCAGACCCAGGGAACUGAAACAUCUAAGUACCUGGAGGAAGAGAAAGAAAAAUCGAUUUCCUGAGUAGCGGCGAGCGAAACGGAAAGAGCCCAAACCAAGAAGCUUGCUUCUUGGGGUUGUAGGACACUCUAUACGGAGUUACAAAAGAAAGUUAUAAAUGAAGCGGUCUGGAAAGGCCCGCCAAAGACGGUAACAGCCCGGUAGUUGAAAUGGCUUUCCCUCCAGAGUGGAU
rnacentral:rRNA from 1 species